AUUGAACGCUGGCGGCAGGCCUAACACAUGCAAGUCGAGCGAGCGGCGGACGGGUGAGUAAUGUCUGGGCAACUGCCUGAUGGAGGGGGAUAACUACUGGAAACGGUAGCUAAUACCGCAUACCAUCAGAUGUGCCCAGAUGGGAUUAGCUAGUAGGUGGGGUAACGGCUCACCUAGGCGACGAUCCCUAGCUGGUCUGAGAGGAUGAACAGCCACACUGGAACUGAGACACGGUCCAGUAUCCUACGGGAGGCAGCAGGGGGGAAUAUUAGACAAUGUGCGCAAGCCAGAUGCAGCCAUGCCGCGUGUGUGAAGAAGGCCUUCGGGUUGUAAAGCACUGUCAGCGGAGAGGCGUUACCCGCAGAAGAAGCUUCGUGAAACUCCGGGCCAGCAGCCGCGGUAAUAC
rnacentral:rRNA from 1 species